rnacentral:rRNA from 1 species
AGCGAACGCUGGCGGCAGGCCUAACACAUGCAAGUCGAACGAACCUUUCGGGGUUAGUGGCGGACGGGUGAGUAACACGUGGGAACGUGCCUUUAGGUUCGGAAUAACUCAGGGAAACUUGUGCUAAUACCGAAUGUGCCCUUCGGGGGAAAGAUUUAUCGCCUUUAGAGCGGCCCGCGUCUGAUUAGCUAGUUGGUUGAGGUAAUGGCUCACCAAGGCGACGAUCAGUAGAUGGUCUGAGAGGAUGAUCAGCCACAUUGGGACUGAGACACGGCCCAAACUCCUACGGGAGGCAGCAGUGGGGAAUCUUGCGCAAUGGGCGAAAGCCUGACGCAGCCAUGCCGCGUGAAUGAUGAAGGUCUUAGGAUUGUAAAAUUCUUUCACCGGGGACGAUAAUGACGGUACCCGGAGAAGAAGCCCCGGCUAACUUCGUG